rnacentral:rRNA from 1 species
AUGGCCAAUGGAUUUUACACUUCGUCAUCGGCCUACAAGGUGCAAUUCGAGGGGACUGUGGCCUCCAACAUGACACGGGUCGUUUGGGGCAAUUGGGGGCCUCCCAAGUGCAAAUUAUUUGCGUGGCUUGUCAUCAUGAAUCGGGUUUGGACGGCGGAUUGGCUUCGGAGGAGAGGAUGGCCAAAUUAUAACUUAUGUCAACUCUGUAAGAGGGAGCCUGAGACGGCGGCGCACUUCCUCUUGCAUUGCAGGUUCUCCACACGCAUUUGGAAUGCGGUUAAGUGUUGGCUCGUCGUUCAGGAGUUGGAUAUCGCCACCUGGGCUGGGAUCCCCACGGUCAAGCAAUGGUGGGAGAAGACCGUCCUUGGACGAGGUCACAGGAGGAAGGCCGUGUCCUCUCUUCUAAUGCUUGUAUCAUGGGAGCUGUGGAACGAGAGGAAUGCGAGGGUGUUCCAAAAGAAAGCCACGAUGCCGACCGUUGUGGUCAAUCGUAUCAAGGCGGAGUCUAGAAAUUGGGUUCUGGCCGGGGCAAAACAUAUGGGAUAUUUGAUGCCGCGAGAGUAG